rnacentral:rRNA from 1 species
UAUGCACGCUGGCGGCGUGCCUAAUACAUGCAAGUCGAGCGAACGGACGAGAAGCUUGCUUCUCUGAUGUUAGCGGCGGACGGGUGAGUAACACGUGGAUAACCUACCUAUAAGACUGGGAUAACUUCGGGAAACCGGAGCUAAUACCGGAUAAUAUUUUGAACCGCAUGGUUCAAAAGUGAAAGACGGUCUUGCUGUCACUUAUAGAUGGAUCCGCGCUGCAUUAGCUAGUUGGUAAGGUAACGGCUUACCAAGGCAACGAUGCAUAGCCGACCUGAGAGGGUGAUCGGCCACACUGGAACUGAGACACGGUCCAGACUCCUACGGGAGGCAGCAGUAGGGAAUCUUCCGCAAUGGGCGAAAGCCUGACGUAGCAACGCCGCGUGAGUGAUGAAGGUCUUCGGAUCGUAAAACUCUGUUAUUAGGGAAGAACAUAUGUGUAAGUAACUGUGCACAUCUUGACGGUACCUAAUCAGAAAGCCGCGGCUAACUACGUG